rnacentral:rRNA from 1 species
AGCAGCCGCCGCGGUAAAACGUAGGGUGCAAGCGUUAAUCGGAAUUACUGGGCGUAAAGCGUGCGCAGGCGGUUAUAUAAGACAGAUGUGAAAUCCCCGGGCUCAACCUGGGAACUGCAUUUGUGACUGUAUAGCUAGAGUACGGCAGAGGGGGGUAGAAUUCCACGUGUAGCAGUGAAAUGCGUAGAGAUGUGGAGGAAUACCGAUGGCGAAGGCAGCCCCCUGGGCCAAUACUGACGCUCAUGCACGAAAGCGUGGGGAGCAAACAGGAUUAGAUACCCCAGUAGUCCCUGUCUCUUAUAC